GUAAAAACUGUGAAAGGAAGAGUAGAUAUCUGGAAUCUUUCAGCGAAUUGGGGAUGGUGAGAGCCCAAGAAGAUGAAGCAUAUUGAAAGACAUCCUUGAGUUGAUGAUUCAAAAGCUGGGCCCAGCAAGUAGAUGAAUCCGGGAGUUCCCGUUAUAGAAAUAAGAGAUAACUGCUAGCUAUAUGGCAGUUAAUAAGAAUGGUACCGUGAGAUAAGCUCGCUUCUUAA
rnacentral:ncRNA from 1 species